GAAGGAAGUGCUAGUCACAAGACCCAACUGCCACACCCGGCAGGAAGGAAGUGCUAGUCACAAGACCCAACGGCCACUUCCAGUUGGGCCCUUCCCCCACAAACUGUCAGUCUUGUUUCCUUUCCACAAUAGCUUGUGUAUCUUCUUUAAAUGGAAGCUUUGGUAGAAGUGUUUUGAUUCAUCUUCUAGCCUUCCAAUCAGAAGGGGAGAAAUUACUGAAGGUACUGAUGAGGCAAACUGGCUAAUUAUUGAGGCAUCUGCAAUUGGCAUGCUGGGUCAAAGCAAACAGCAUUUUGAAAGAAAGGGGAGUGUACUUCAAAACAGGGUCUGAAACUCUAUCCACUAUGUUACCAUGAUGCCCCUCCAUGGAUACUCUUUCAAAAUGUGAAAGAAACCAGGCUUACCACUCACAAUAUAGCAAUAAUGUUCAAAAAUGCCUAUAACUUAACCAAGAAAUACAGCUGGAAGGACACACUCUUGAGGUUCAAAGCAGCAUGGACACAAAAGACACAAAGUCCCUACCUUGAGGAGCUUCCUUCUAUUAAAGCAGAUGAAUAAUUGGUCUCUACAACAGCAAUACUGACUGAAUAAUAGCUGCCAGAUAUGGAAAACCACCAUUUUGGACGAAACAACAUUACAAAGAAUAUAAAGGGCAAUGGAAAGAUACAUAGAAGGUGGGUACAAAUAGGCAACAAUGAUUCUCUUGGAAGAAAUGGCUUAGAAAAGACAUUAUUGAAUGGCAAAGAACAAGUGACAAAGAAUAAGAGAAAGCCCACCAUCCCCCAGGUUUUGAAGAGAUUCAAGCUGGUGCAGGGGGAGCCCAUUGGCCUAAGAGCUCAGGAAUUAGGGGAUCCGAGUCUCUCUAGGACAGAAGUAAAAAUGCACAUUUACUGAAGGAUGUAACAGUGGAGCAGAGGUACAAAAUUUUACUACUUUCUACUAAGAGCAAGGGAUGAGAUCGAGUAAACCACUGAAUGAUAUCUGCCAAGGAUUGAUUCAGAUGGAGAUGCUGACCGAGCAGAAGAGGAAAUGGACAGCAAUCAUUUAGGAAAGGGAGAAGUAAAAACACAUGUAUUCUGAUGGUUUUUUUUUUUUACUAAUUUAAUGCAAUUAAAUUAGGCUCCCUUGCUAACAAAAAUUACAUUGCUGAGUCUAGAUAUGUCAGUCAUGCUCUCUAGCAAACAAAACUUACAUUAUUGGAGGUGGGCAUGUCAGUCAUAUAGUUUAUCUCCAAUAAAUUCUUAACUAGCAAACAUGCUAAUUUCCAAAUUUUCAUUAAGCCAUUCAGUAAAGCACUCCACAAGCUCACCUCUGGAAAUGAUCUUUAGGAGCCAAUGUGCAAGAAAAGUGGAAGAAAUUUGAAAUGCUUAAGACUUUCCCCAUAGUUCUUUGGGUCUCAGUAUUCUAGUAAAAGUAGAGAAAUACCAACUGCAUGUUCUGCCCUUUCUGGGUCUCAUAGUAGGAUAAGCCAGAACACAGUAGAAAGUGUACCAGAGGGGGCAGCUGGGUGGCUCAGUGGAUUGAGAGUCAGGCCCAGAGCUGGGAGGUCCUGGGUUCAAAUCUGGUCUCAGACACUACCUAGUUGUGUGACCCUGGACAAGUCAUUUAACCCCCAUUGCCUAUCCCUUACCACUCUUUUGCCUUAGAACCAAUACCCAGUAUUGAUUCCAAGAUGGAAGGUGAGGGUUUAAAAAAAAGUGCACCAGAGUUGGGAUGGAAGUUAGGUUUCUGGCUCUAUUGUCACUUAUUGCAAGUUUAAUUUGGGCAAGGCUAUGUAGAAAACCAUAAUGGAAGGGUCAUGAUAGUCUCCUUUUGCCCUGGUUCCCACAGGCAUGUAGCACAACAUUUGCAAAGUGUUUUACAGUUAUUAUCUCAUUGGACUAUAUUAUCUCAGCAUCCCCACGAAGUAGAGAGUAUUAUUAUUAUUGUUCCUAUUUUAAAGAUGAGGAAAAGGAGAGUUUUUAAGUGACUUGACCAGAGACAUAGCUAGUAAGUGAACAAAGCAGGAUUGGGAAGGGGAGAUGGGAAUAGGUAUUGUGCUUAGCUGGGAAGGGGAGAUGGGUAUAGAGACUGUGCUAAGUGCUUUACAAAUAUCUCAUUUGAUUCUCACAACAACCCUAUGAGAUAGGGGCUAUUAUUAUCCUCAUUUUACAGUUGAGGAAAUUGAGGCAAGAGAGCUUGUGACUUUUCCAGGGUCACAUACUUAGUAAGUGCCUGUGGACAGAUUUGAAUUCAGUUCUUCCUGCCUCCAGACCCAGCACUCUAUCCACUACAACACCUUACCAACUUUUAUAGCAUAGUGCUCUGUCCAUCUAAUAUAUUUGAUAGAGCAUCGGACGAGGAAUCAGGAAGAUCUGAAUGCAAAUUUUGUCUCAGACAUUUAUCAACUGAAGUUCCUCAUCUAUCAAAUGAAGGAAUGGAAUUCAAGGAACUCAACUCUAAAUACUCUGAUCUGAGUUCAUGCCACACUUUGCAUAACUCCACCACAAACUCACCAUUUCAUUAAC